GUCCCUAAGGACUCUGUAAAGGCCAUUUCGAACGUCGUAGGGACUCCAUAUUUUCAAAAUUUUUCGUUCGGCUCAGACUUGUCAGUUUCAUCAAGGCACUGUCACUGAUAAAGGCACAACAUGUGUGAUGAAUAUCUAUUGUAGUUAUUGUAUUCGUAUAUUAUCAUUUUUAUUUUAUAUAAACGCUGUAUAUGACAUGAAUACUCCAGACUAGAAAGAAUUAAUAUUAGAAUUUAGAAUGCAGAGAUAAGAAAACAUAAAACUUGUGACGUUACUUUGUACUUCAAUGAGAAGAUUUAAUCCAGGUAAUCUCACAUGUUGUUCAGCAAAAUGUCAACUUUGUAUGACUUUUGUUCUCUCAUUUGUUAAACUUUUGUAAAGAAAACGUUUUCUGUUUAUAAUUCCAAUUUAUCCAGGCCUGCAGAAAUUGUAUAAAGCUUUAUAAUUAAUGUAUGUCGUGAAAUUAACG